GCAUUGGUGGUUCAGUGGUAGAAUUCUCGCCUGCCACACAGGAGGCCCGGGUUCGAUUCCUCGGCCAAUGCA